GUAGGGAAUUUUGCGCAAUGGGGGAAACCCUGACGCAGCAACGCCGCGUGAUUGAGACGCCCUUCGGGGUGUAAAGAUCUGUCAGUGGGGACGAAUGAUGACGGUACCCACAGAGGAAGCACCGGCUAACUCCGUGCCAGCAGCCGCGGUAAUACGGGGGGUGCGAGCGUUGUCCGGAAUCAUUGGGCGUAAAGAGUUCGUAGGCGGCACGUAAAGUCUGGUGUUAAAGGCGUAUGCUCAACAUACGUACGGCACUGGAUACUUGCGAGCUAGAAUGCGGUAGAGGUAAAGGGAAUUCCUGGUGUAGCGGUGAAAUGCUUAGAUAUCAGGAGGAACAUCGGUGGCGUAAGCGCUUUACUGGGCCGUAAUUGACGCUGAGGAACGAAAGCCAGGGUAGCAAAUGGG
rnacentral:rRNA from 1 species